AACGAACGCUGGCGGCAGGCCUAACACAUGCAAGUCGAACGCCCCGCAAGGGGAGUGGCAGACGGGUGAGUAACACGUGGGAACCUUCCCAACAGUACGGAAUAGCCCAGGGAAACUUGGAGUAAUACCGUAUAUUCCCGAGAGGGGAAAGAUUUAUCGCUGUUGGAUGGGCCCGCGUCGGAUUAGCUAGUUGGUGAGGUAACGGCUCACCAAGGCGACGAUCCGUAGCUGGUUUGAGAGAAUGACCAGCCACACUGGGACUGAGACACGGCCCAGACUCCUACGGGAGGCAGCAGUGGGGAAUCUUGGACAAUGGGCGCAAGCCUGAUCCAGCCAUGCCGCGUGAGUGACGAAGGCCUUAGGAUUGUAAAGCUCUUUUGCCGGGGACGAUAAUGACGGUACCCGGAGAAUAAGUCCCGGCUAACUUCGUGCCAGCCGCCGCGGUAAAAC
rnacentral:rRNA from 1 species